rnacentral:tRNA from 1 species
AGUGGAUAUUUUAAUAAAAAAUAUUAAUUUUGGAGAUUAAAGAGGAAGAAAGUUUCUUUUCUACUG